rnacentral:rRNA from 1 species
CUACGGGGGGCAGCAGUGGGGAAUAUUGCACAAUGGGGGAAACCCUUAUGCAGCAACGCCGCGUGGAGGAUGACGCAUUUCGGUGUGUAAACUCCUUUUAUAUAGGAAGAUAAUGACGGUACUAUAUGAAUAAGCACCGGCUAACUCCGUGCCAGCAGCCGCGGUAAUACGGAGGGUGCAAGCGUUACUCGGAAUCACUGGGCGUAAAGCGCGCGCAGGCGGCCCCUUAAGUUGGAUGUGAAAGCCUACGGCUUAACCGUAGAACUGCAUCCAAAACUGAGGGGCUAGAGUCUGGGAGGGGAAGAUGGAAUUAGUUGUGUAGGGGUAAAAUCCGUAGAGAUAACUAGGAAUACCAAAAGCGAAGGCGAUCUUCUGGAACAGUACUGACGCUGAGGCGCGAAAGCGUGGGGAGCAAACAGGAUUAGAUACCCCCGUAGUC